rfam:Medicago truncatula strain A17 chromosome 8, whole genome shotgun sequence.
AAAACUUAGGUACAAUUCCUUAGGUGCUUUUUGUAUGGUUCUUAACUAAAAAUACAUAUUUUUUUGGAUAUAACUAACUUUGAGAAUAUUAUGGAUUUGAGAAAAUCAUGGUGAAUUUAGUUAAGAACCAUACGAAAAGCACCUAAGGAAUUGUACCUAAGUUUU